UACGGGGGGGGCAAGCGUUGUUCGGAAUUACUGGGCGUAAAGGGCGCGUAGGCGGCCUGCUAAGUCGGAUGUGAAAUCCCUCGGCUCAACCGAGGAACUGCCGUCCAAACUGCUUCGCUUGAGACCGGGAGAGGUGAGUGGAAUUCCCAGUGUAGCGGUGAAAUGCGUAGAUAUUGGGAGGAACACCAGUGGCGAAGGCGGCUCACUGGACCGGUACUGACGCUGAUGCGCGAAAGCGUGGGGAGCAAACGGG
rnacentral:rRNA from 1 species